UCCAGACUCCUACGGGAGGCAGCAGUAGGGAAUCUUCGGCAAUGGACGAAAGUCUGACCGAGCAACGCCGCGUGAGUGAAGAAGGUUUUCGGAUCGUAAAACUCUGUUGGUAGAGAAGAACGUUGGUGAGAGUGGAAAGCUCAUCAAGUGACGGUAACUACCCAGAAAGGGACGGCUAACUACGUGCCAGCAGCCGCGGUAAUACGUAGGUCCCGAGCGUUGUCCGGAUUUAUUGGGCGUAAAGCGAGCGCAGGUGGUUUAUUAAGUCUGGUGUAAAAGGCAGUGGCUCAACCAUUGUAUGCAUUGGAAACUGGUAGACUUGAGUGCAGGAGAGGAGAGUGGAAUUCCAUGUGUAGCGGUGAAAUGCGUAGAUAUAUGGAGGAACACCGGUGGCGAAAGCGGCUCUCUGGCCUGUAACUGACACUGAGGCUCGAAAGCGUGGGGAGCAAACAGGAUUAGAUACCCUGGUAGUCCACGCCGUAAACGAUGAGUGCUAGAUGUAGGGAGCUAUAAGUUCUCUGUAUCGCAGCUAACGCAAUAAGCACUCCGCCUGGGGAGUACGACCGCAAGGUUGAAACUCAAAGGAAUUGACGGGGGCCCGCACAAG
rnacentral:rRNA from 1 species